rnacentral:rRNA from 1 species
UAAGGAAUAUUGGUCAAUGGACGCAAGUCUGAACCAGCCAUGCCGCGUGAAGGAUGAAGGUCCUCUGGAUUGUAAACUUCUUUUAUAUGGGACGAAAAAAGGUCUUUCUAGAUCGUCUGACGGUACCAUACGAAUAAGCACCGGCUAACUCCGUGCCAGCAGCCGCGGUAAUACGGAGGGUGCAAGCGUUAUCCGGAUUCACUGGGUUUAAAGGGUGCGUAGGUGGGCAGGUAAGUCAGUGGUGAAAUCCCCGAGCUCAACUUGGGAACUGCCAUUGAUACUAUCUGUCUUGAAUACCGUGGAGGUUAGCGGAAUAUGUCAUGUAGCGGUGAAAUGCAUAGAUAUGACAUAGAACACCAAUUGCGAAGGCAGCUGGCUACACGAAUAUUGACACUGAGGCACGAAAGCGUGGGGAUCAAACAGG